rnacentral:rRNA from 1 species
GGCGGACGGGUGAGUAAUGCUUAGGAAUCUGCCUAUUAGUGGGGGACAACAUUUCGAAAGGAAUGCUAAUACCGCAUACGUCCUACGGGAGAAAGCAGGGGAUCUUCGGACCUUGCGCUAAUAGAUGAGCCUAAGUCGGAUUAGCUAGUUGGUGGGGUAAAGGCCUACCAAGGCGACGAUCUGUAGCGGGUCUGAGAGGAUGAUCCGCCACACUGGGACUGAGACACGGCCCAGACUCCUACGGGAGGCAGCAGUGGGGAAUAUUGGACAAUGGGCGCAAGCCUGAUCCAGCCAUGCCGCGUGUGUGAAGAAGGCCUUAUGGUUGUAAAGCACUUUAAGCGAGGAGGAGGCUACUUUAGAUAAUACCUAGAGAUAGUGGACGUUACUCGCAGAAUAAGCACCGGCUAACUCUGUGCCAGCAGCCGCGGUAAUACAGAGGGUGCAAGCGUUAAUCGGAUUUACUGGGCGUAAAGCGCGCGUAGGCGGCUAAUUAAGUCAAAUGUGAAAUCCCCGAGCUUAACUUGGGAAUUGCAUUCGAUACUGGUUAGCUAGAGUGUGGGAGAGGAUGGUAGAAUUCCAGGUGUAGCGGUGAAAUGCGUAGAGAUCUGGAGGAAUACCGAUGGCGAAGGCAGCCAUCUGGCCUAACACUGACGCUGAGGUGCGAAAGCAUGGGGAGCAAACAGGAUUAGAUACCCUGGUAGUCCAUGCCGUAAACGAUGUCUACUAGCCGUUGGGGCCUUUGAGGCUUUAGUGGCGCAGCUAACGCGAUAAGUAGACCGCCUGGGGAGUACGGUCGCAAGACUAAAACUCAAAUGAAUUGACGGGGGCCCGCACAAGCGGUGGAGCAUGUGGUUUAAUUCGAUGCAACGCGAAGAACCUUACCUGGCCUUGACAUAGUAAGAACUUUCCAGAGAUGGAUUGGUGCCUUCGGGAACUUACAUACAGGUGCUGCAUGGCUGUCGUCAGCUCGUGUCGUGAGAUGUUGGGUUAAGUCCCGCAACGAGCGCAACCCUUUUCCUUAUUUGCCAGCGAGUAAUGUCGGGAACUUUAAGGAUACUGCCAGUGACAAACUGGAGGAAGGCGGGGACGACGUCAAGUCAUCAUGGCCCUUACGGCCAGGGCUACACACGUGCUACAAUGGUCGGUACAAAGGGUUGCUACCUAGCGAUAGGAUGCUAAUCUCAAAAAGCCGAUCGUAGUCCGGAUUGGAGUCUGCAACUCGACUCCAUGAAGUCGGAAUCG